rnacentral:rRNA from 1 species
UACGGGGGGAGCAAGCGUUGUUCGGAUUUACUGGGCGUAAAGGGCGCGUAGGCGGCCACCGCAAGUCGAUUGUGAAAUCUCCGGGCUUAACCCGGAAAGGUCAACCGAUACUGCGGGGCUAGAGUGCGGAAGGGGCAACUGGAAUUCUUGGUGUAGCGGUGAAAUGCGUAGAUAUCAGGAGGAACACCAAUGGCGAAGGCAGCACUCUGGGACGGUACUGACGCUGAGACGCGAAAGCGUGGGGAGCAAACAGG